rnacentral:rRNA from 1 species
AGAGUUUGAUCCUGGCUCAGAUUGAACGCUGGCGGCAGGCCUAACACAUGCAAGUCGAACGGUAACAGGAAACAGCUUGCUGUUUCGCUGACGAGUGGCGGACGGGUGAGUAAUGUCUGGGAAACUGCCUGAUGGAGGGGGAUAACUACUGGAAACGGUAGCUAAUACCGCAUAACGUCGCAAGACCAAAGAGGGGGACCUUCGGGCCUCUUGCCAUCGGAUGUGCCCAGAUGGGAUUAGCUAGUAGGUGGGGUAACGGCUCACCUAGGCGACGAUCCCUAGCUGGUCUGAGAGGAUGACCAGCCACACUGGAACUGAGACACGGUCCAGACUCCUACGGGAGGCAGCAGUGGGGAAUAUUGCACAAUGGGCGCAAGCCUGAUGCAGCCAUGCCGCGCGUAUGAAGAAGGCCUUCGGGUU